rnacentral:rRNA from 1 species
UACGUAGGUGGCAAGCGUUGUCCGGAUUUACUGGGCGUAAAGGGCGCGUAGGCGGUCAGCACAAGUCAGUUGUGAAAUCUCCGGGCUUAACUCGGAAAGGUCAACUGAUACUGCGCGGCUAGAGUGCAGAAGGGGCAACUGGAAUUCUCGGUGUAGCGGUGAAAUGCGUAGAUAUCGAGAGGAACACCUGCGGCGAAGGCGGGUUGCUGGGCUGACACUGACGCUGAUGCGCGAAAGCCAGGGGAGCGAAGCGGG